rnacentral:rRNA from 1 species
CUCUUACCAUGCAGUCGACGGGCUCUUCGGAGCUAGUGGCGGACGGGUGAGUAACGCGUGAGGAUCUGCCCUUAGGACGGGGACAACAGCUGGAAACGGCUGCUAAUACCCGAUGUGCCGAGAGGUGAAACUAUUUGGCCUGAGGAUGAGCUCGCGUCUGAUUAGCUAGUUGGAGUGGUAACGGCACACCAAGGCGACGAUCAGUAGCUGGUCUGAGAGGAUGAUCAGCCACACUGGGACUGAGACACGGCCCAGACUCCUACGGGAGGCAGCAGUGGGGAAUUUUCCGCAAUGGGCGAAAGCCUGACGGAGCAAGACCGCGUGCGGGAGGAAGGUCUAUUGACUGUAAACCGCUUUUGAUAGGGAAGAAGAUCUGACGGUACCUAUCGAAUCAGCAUCGGCUAACUCCGUGCCAGCAGCCGCGGUAAUACGGGGGAUGCAAGCGUUAUCCGGAAUUAUUGGGCGUAAAGCGUCCGUAGGUGGUUUUAAAAGUCUGUUGUUAAAGCGCGAGGCUUAACCUCGUAUAGGCAGUGGAAACUAUAAGACUAGAGUGCGGUAGGGGUAGAGGGAAUUUCCAGUGUAGCGGUGAAAUGCGUAGAUAUUGGAAAGAACACCGGUGGCGAAGGCGCUCUACUGGGCCUGCACUGACACUGAGGGACGAAAGCUAGGGGAGCGAAAGGGAUUAGAUACCCCUGUAGUCCUAGCCGUAAACGAUGGAAACUAGGUGUUGCCCGUAUCGACCCGGGCAGUGCCGUAGCCAACGCGUUAAGUUUCCCGCUGGGGGAGUACCGCCUCCGCAAGAAUGAACUCAAGAUUGACGGGGGCCGCACCAGCGG